UACGUAGGGUGCAAGCGUUAAUCGGAAUUACUGGGCGUAAAGCGGGCGCAGGCGCCUUCUCAAGUCAGGGGGGAAAGCCCAGAGCUCAACUCUGGAAUUGCCUUUGAGACUGAGUGGCUUGAGUACGAGAGAGGUGAGUGGAAUUCCCAGUGUAGAGGUGAAAUUCGUAGAUAUUGGGAGGAACACCAGUGGCGAAGGCGACUGUCUGGACGGCACCUGACGCUGAGGCGCGAAAGCCAGGGGAGCAAACGGG
rnacentral:rRNA from 1 species